UUACCUACCCAAAUCCUAUAAAACGGCCCCACCCUUAUCUCCCUUCACUGACUCUCUUUUCAGACUCAGCCCGCCUGCACCCAGGUGAAAUAAACAGCCACAUUGCUCACACAAAGCCUGUUUGGUGGUCUUUUCACACGGACGUACAUGAAAUUUGGUGCCGUGACUCGGAUUGGGGGACCUCCCUUGGGAGAUCAAUCCCCUGUCCUCUUGCUCUUUGCUCCGUGAGAAAGAUCCACCUCAGGUCCUCAGACCGACCAGCCCAAGAAACAUCUCACCAAUUUUAAAUUGGGGACCCACUGGAAGGCAGACUGCCCAGCUCGCCCGGCAGCCACUCCUAGAGCCCCUAAAGCUCUAGCCCAAGGCUCUCUGACUGACUCCUUCCCAGAUCUGCUCAGCUUAGAGACUGAAGAUUGACGCUGCCCGAUCACCUCGGAAGCCCCCUGGACCAUCAUGGACGCUGAGCUUCGGGUAACUCUCACAGUGAAGGAAGACAGGAAUGUCAGGCCUCUGAGCUCAAGCUAAGCCAUCAUAUCCCCUGUGACCUGCACGUACACAUCCAGAUGGCCGGUUCCUGCCUUAACUGAUGACAUUCCACCACGAAAGAAGUGAAAAUGGCCUGUUCCUGCCUUAACUGAUGACAUUGUCUUGUGAAAUUCCUUUUCCUGGCUCAUCCUGUCUCAAAAAGCUCUCCUACUGAGCACCUUGUGACCCCCACUCUGCCCUCCAGAGAACAACUCCCCUUUGACUGUAAUUUUCCUUUAUCUACCCAAAUCCUAUAAAAUGGCCCCACCCUUAUCUCCCUUAGCUGACUCUCUUUUCAGACUCAGCCCGCCUGCACCCAAGUGAAAUAAACAGCCUUGUUGCUCACACAAAGCCCGUUUGGUGGUCUCUUCACAUGGACGUGCAUGAAAAGAAUACUUAAAAAAAAAAAAAAAAAAAAGCAGCAUCAGCACCACCUGGAAGCUUGUUAUUUAUACAGAAUCUCAGACCCACCUGAAACCUACUGCAUUGGCAUUUGCAUUUUAACAACUCUGGUGAUUUGUUUUCUCAUUUCACAAGUUGUAGUCUGAAAAAUCAGGAGCUGUCAGGAAAGGAGAUCUACUUCCCUGGCUACUGCGAAUCAAGGUUUCUUCUGCAUCUACGACUGCUACUCAUAAAAUGUGAAAUACCCUUCAGGAAUCUAUAUGGCUCUAAAGACUCAUAGUGAGAUGUUAAGUAUCCCUUUCUCCUUCCUAAUAGCAGCCUAUUUCCUUUCAAGAAUUCUCUUCCCCUAUUCUAUGUCUUGUCGUGAGGGUUGAUUUCAGGUGCCUACUAACCCAAACAAGCCAGAGAAGCAAUUCUUUUCUCUAGGUUCUCAACCAGGGGUGAUUUUGCCCCCCAGGGGACAUUUUGGCAACAUCUGGAAACAUAUUUGUUUGUGACAAAUGACAGGGAGAGAUACUGGCAUCUAGUGAAAAGCAGCCGGGGCUGCCGCUAAACAUCAUAUAGUACCCAGGAUGGCCCCUCACAGCAAAUAAUUAUCCAGCCCAAAAUAUUAAUAGGACCAAGGCUGCAAAACCCUGAAUGAGUAAUUACAUACAUUCUCCCUCUUUCAGGAAGUCUCAAUCUUGAGAGAAGGGGGAAAGAGAAAUAGAACAUCGCUGUCACAGCAGCGUCACUGUGACCCAACUCGUCCUGCCUAGAUGACCUGCUUCCUCCCUCUUGACCCUCCAGAGUGCUGUCAAUUCCCUACCAUGGAGCCCUAGCUUUGCAUAAAUCAUACGAGCCCCAGUUUCCUUCCAGCUCACUGUCAUUUGCCCAAGUUAGCCAGUAUCUUUCUGUUGAUGGUAACCAAGAACCCUUACGCCCAACCAUCCAGUUAGAGGAGGGCUCCAUUCCAGGGCAGGGCAGGCUUACCCAGCUGCUAGGCUAAGCACACACUUCAAGCAUCAGCAAGUAACUGACAAGUUCAGCUUGAAUGAACUUAACCAGAAUUUGCAGUCAAGAAAACUAGAAAGAAACUGUUUUAAUUUCAGUAUAAGUGUUUCAUUUUGCAUCAAGUGAUUUAAACAGUUCAUUAUUUGGGACCCUGAUGUUCUGGGCCAUCAGGUGGGGCAGGCUUGCUCUGGUUUUGAGUUUCAAUGCUAAGAAGGAAGAGGAAAACGAGAGAGAAGAGAUUGAGUUGUUUAUAUUAUCUGGCCUCAGGUGAGAGAGUACUGGAAUGAGAAGCCUAUGUUUAAAGGAAAAAAUAUUAAAACUGGGAAAGUAUUGAACAUGGAAAGAUGUAACCUAUACAAUGAAGUACAGCACAAUGGAAGAACCUAAAAAUUAAAACCAAGAAUACAUAUAUAUAUUUCUUGAUAUAUAUAUCAAAAAAUAACAAUCUAUCUGCAAGCCGAAAAGUGUUGCAGAAGGAAUGGAGGCUUUGUCAUCAAAUACACCUGCUGGUUUAACCAAACUAAGAUUGAAAGUAAAAACCUUAGCUUGGGAAACAUAGCGAGACCCCAUCUCUACAAAAACUGAAAAAAUAGCCAGGUGUGGUGGUGCAUGCCUGUGGUCCCAGCUACUUCGGAGGCUGAGGUAGAAGGAUUGCUUGAGCCCAGGAAGUCAAGCCAGCAGUGGGCCAUGUUUGAGCCACUGCACUCCAGCCUGGGUGACAGAGUAAGACCCUGUCUCAGAAAAAAAAAAAAGAAAGAAUGUAAAAGCCUUCGAAGCCAUUUGGCAAAGAUCAUGGAAAACAGGGCAAGCAAUAGCUACAGAGUUCCAGAGCCAUGUUAAAUUAAUAAAUAAGUAAAUAUUUAAACAUUGAAUACCUUAACAAUUAAAAAUCAUAUCUAUCUAUUAUAUUGUUGAAUAACAAAAGCCUAUUACAGGAUGAUUCUACCCAUAUCGACAUUUGCAUAUAUGCAUAAAGCAAGUCUGGAAGGACCUUCACAAGCAUGUUAACAAUGGUCACCUAUGGGUUGGGAGAUCUUUGAAUUUUUUUUUUUU